AUAGAAAUUACAGCAUUUCAAAACUUAUACAGGUAAAACUAAACUCUGUGCUGAGAAUCGUAUUUCGUUAGAAAUGCUUACAGAUAUAAAUUAAAUACCUAACUUUAUGAAUUUUGUCUUCCCAACUUCUCCCCUACAACAACGCCAUCCAUCACGUCUCUUCAACCGAUUUGUUAUUUCUUUCAAGCUAAAAACAUUUCAACCCACACCCUAUUAUCUAUUAAUUAAGUCAAAUCUAAGCCAACGCAUAUUUGUUACCAACAUCAAUGGCUCCAACUCUAACAUCCAAACAGCAUCAACUGGUAUUUUCCAAGAUCCUCGAGGAACGCUAGAUAAUGCUGACAUUGCGUCAUUCCUUUUUAACAUCUUUAUCAGCAAACUUUUAUUUAUAUCUAUACCUUA